AUUGAACGCUGGCGGCAGGCCUAACACAUGCAAGUCGAGCGGAUGAAGGGAGCUGGCUCCUGGAUUCAGCGGCGGACGGGUGAGUAAUGCCUAGGAAUCUGCCUGGUAGUGGGGGAUAACGUCCGGAAACGGGCGCUAAUACCGCAUACGUCCUGAGGCAGAAAGUGGGGGAUCUUCGGACCUCACGCUAUCAGAUGAGCCUAGGUCGGAUUAGCUAGUUGGUGGGGUAAAGGCCUACCAAGGCGACGAUCCGUAACUGGUCUGAGAGGAUGAUCAGUCACACUGGAACUGAGACACGGUCCAGACUCCUACGGGAGGCAGCAGUGGGGAAUAUUGGACAAUGGGCGAAAGCCUGAUCCAGCCAUGCCGCGUGUGUGAAGAAGGUCUUCGGAUUGUAAAGCACUUUAAGUUGGGAGGAAGGGCAGUAAGUUAAUACCUUGCUGUUUUGACGUUACCAACAGAAUAAGCACCGGCUAACUUCGUG
rnacentral:rRNA from 1 species